UACGAAGGGGGCUAGCGUUGUUCGGAAUUACUGGGCGUAAAGCGCACGUAGGCGGGUUGUUAAGUCAGGGGUGAAAUCCUGGAGCUCAACUCCAGAACUGCCUUUGAUACUGGCAACCUAGAGACUGGAAGAGGUUAGUGGAAUUCCCAGUGUAGAGGUGUAAUUCGUAGAUAUUGGGAAGAACACCAGUGGCGAAGGCGGCUAACUGGUCCAGCACUGACGCUGAGGUGCGAAAGCGUGGGGAGCAAACAGG
rnacentral:rRNA from 1 species